rnacentral:rRNA from 1 species
GUCUUUUUGAUAAUAAUUUAAAGUCUAAUCUGCCCACUGAAUUAUUUUAAAGGGCUGCAGUAUAUUGACUGUACAAAGGUAGCAUAAUCAUUAGUCUUUUAAUUGAAGACUUGUAUGAAUGAUUUGAUGAAAUAUAAACUGUCUCUUUAUUAAUAAUAGAAAUUAAUUUUUUAGUUAAAAAGCUAAAAUUUAUUUAAAAGACGAGAAGACCCUAUAGAGUUUUAUAUUUAAAUUUAUAUUAAUUCUUUAUAAAAUUUAUAUUUAAUAUUUUUUUAAUUAUUUUAUUGGGGUGAUAGAAAAAUUUAUUAAACUUUUUUUAAAAUUUUUACAUUAAUAUAUGAAAUUUUGAUCCAUAAUUUAUGAUUAAAAGAUUAAAUUACCUUAGGGAUAACAGCGUAAUUUUUUUUUUUAGUUCUUAUAAGAAAAAAAGUUUGCGACCUCGAUGUUGGAUUAAGAUAAAAUUUAAAUGCAAAAGUUUAAAAUUUUGAUCUGUUCGAUCAUUAAAAUCUUACGUGAU